AACGAACGCUGGCGGCAUGCCUAACACAUGCAAGUCGAACGAGACCUUCGGGUCUAGUGGCGCACGGGUGCGUAACGCGUGGGAAUCUGCCCUUCGGUUGGGAAUAACUGAGAGAAAUUUCAGCUAAUACCUUAUAAUGUCUUCGGACCAAAGAUUUAUCGCCGAGGGAUGAGCCCGCGUAGGAUUAGGUAGUUGGUGGGGUAAUGGCCUACCAAGCCGACGAUCCUUAGCUGGUCUGAGAGGAUGAUCAGCCACACUGGGACUGAGACACGGCCCAGACCCCACGGGGGGGAGGAAGGGGGAAAUAGUGGAAAGGGGCGAAAGGCUGGACCACGCAUGGCCGGGGGAGAAAUAAGGCCUUUGGGGUUGAAAAUCUUUUUCCCCGGGGAGAAAAAGAAAAGGCCGGGAAAAAAAGCCCCGGCCAACCCCCGUC
rnacentral:rRNA from 1 species